GUUUAUUGCUAUUUUUUAGGUUUGCCAUUGUACUAGAUGUGGUAAAGCAAUUUUCAGACUAGCUGAAGUUAUUUCAGGCUUUUCUGGGAAGAUGGUGCACAGUUGGGUUUUGCAGGGGAAGGAAAGCUAAAGAAUCUCAGCAAAAACCCUUGAAUCGGGAGAGAGAAACAACAAAUGCAUGUGAUACAAGUCAUGCUACCUCAGAGAGGGAUGCAGUUCCGGGUUGUACCUGUUUGGUGAGUUGUGAUGUCCCAGCCCUCUUYACAGGUGCAUGUCCUCUGCAAGGAUAAAAGAAAAGAUAAGAUUCCCACUCAAACUGAUCAGCUCCACCUCGAACUCCGCCUCUCGAAGGAUGAAACAUCGCUAGAUCGCUUGCUUAUUGUUUUUUUGGAAAAGAUUCACUAAAACUACGACAAAAUUACGACAAAGUUCGUUCGUUCAGUUCGCCAUCUUGGACGUGAAACGCAAUCGAAGUCCUGGGCAUCAUUUUACCACAGGAAACCCAGUCGAUCACACAGGGAACCCAUCAAGUAGAUAGAUCGUGGACAGACAGACAGAUGAUCAAUGCACAAAUAAAUACAAGGGAUCGCGGACUAAAAGCUCCGAGUACGAAGAUACCUACCCUUUGGAGGAAGUUUACCAUUGGUGGAAUCCUCUCUGCCCUCGCUCGCUCCAAUGCGAAUAUGGUCUGGGGACUUCGAAUGAAGAUCUUGUUCCUUCCAUAUUUGACAUCUCGAGAGUAGCCCAUAUCUUCAAUGAGAGUCUUCACGCCAUCUUUGUCGCUACCGCGAUAGUUUGGCCAAGUUUCGUCACAAUUCAUUUUGUACCUUUAUAGAAAAGAAUGAAAAUCAGAAGAACCAAAAAAUGUGGACCUAUGGGUGAGCCCUGUAGAACACCGUUAGGAUCCCAUUUCUAUUAAAGAUGCCUGAUGGUUUUCUACCAAGAUUUACACCUUCCUCUUAGGGCACAGAAGGAGURGGUGAGUUUAAAAUAUACACACAUGAUCAUUGCAAGUUUAGUUCUCAAAAUCAUCACCRAUCCAAGUUGCGGUAGCAUGUGGUGCCGGACGUUCUAAACUAUUUGCGUUGCCGGUGAUUCCUACUGAUGCACUCAAGAUUCCGUUGAAGGUUCACAGUUAUGUAAGMCAGCUGUUUAUCAGGAAAAAAUUGCAUACGUAUACAUCUCCGCAAUUAAUUUUCUUACAGUUUGAGCACCAUUUCGAUUACUUUUGCUCAAUGUCAAGCAACUAUUAUUUUCUGAUUCUGACUUACCUUGUGAGAAAGCGUUUGUAGUGCGUCCUGAAUGCAUAGCCUGCUCGUCGCACGCGAACAUUUUCCAGUAAACCAAGAUAGUCAACCUUUUAAGGAGAAGAGUAUUUGUGCGUAAGACUACUGAGGUGAAAAUACAAGGGCAAUAACACUAGUAGCUGCAACAACAGCAGCUAACAACAACGGUAAAUAACAAAGACUACAUUACUAACAUCAGGAAGAAUAGAAACAGGUGGGGCACGAGUAACAUCGGAACUGAACAACAAAACAGUAGCAUCAUAAACAACAAAAGUCAACAACGAGGAGAAUAAAAACAUCAUAGCAAAAACAAUCAAUCGGGUCCAAAAUCUUUAAACCAUUAUUCACUCUGUCUUUUACRAAAUGAGUUGCAGUAAUUACAACAAUCCCGGCUGAGAAGCAGAAUCAACAACGACAACAGCAUAAGCGACAAUAUAGUAGCAGUUUCAGAAACGACGUACAGCUACAGCAAUGCCGCAAAUGGCAGUAACAACAAGGAGCAGCAACAACAGUAGUACCAGCAACCACAAUGAUAAUAACAGAAGCCAAUAUCAAAAGGGCUGUUAUUUGAACUAUUUCUUACCUGGUUGCCAACGACUUUUUCAUCAAACAGAGAAGAUGAUUUGAUGUCAUUAGGCUUGAUGCAGCGUACAUAGAAAGGUCUCUGUUAGUAAACAAUAAAUCGGAAUCCCAUGACCCACUUGUAAUCGUGCAUGAAGAAAAUGGUGCAUGGCAGGCACAAGGUUAUGAAGACUGCUCUUCACUUUUCCUCCUCUGUCCACUUUAAUUUUGAGGUCAAGAAUAUGAGUACCAAGUAAGUAGGU